rnacentral:rRNA from 1 species
UACGUAGGGGGCAAGCGUUGUCCGGAAUUAUUGGGCGUAAAGAGCGUGUAGGCGGUCCGGUAAGUCCGCUGUGAAAGUCCAGGGCUCAACCCUGGGAUGCCGGUGGAUACUGUCGGGCUCGAGUCCGGAAGAGGCGAGUGGAAUUCCUGGUGUAGCGGUGAAAUGCGUAGAUAUCAAGCGGAACACCGGUGGCGAAGGCGGCCUUCUGGACGAUGACUGACGCUGAGACGCGAAAGCGUGGGGAGCAAACAGG